rnacentral:siRNA from 1 species
UCAAAAUUUGGGGUCGACA